UAGGGAAUCUUCCGCAAUGGACGCAAGUCUGACGGAGCAACGCCGCGUGAGUGAAGAAGGAUUUCGGUUCGUAAAACUCUGUUGUUAGAGAAGAACAGCGCAUAGAGUAACUGUUAUGCGUGUGACGGUAUCUAACCAGAAAGCCACGGCUAACUACGUGCCAGCAGCCGCGGUAAUACGUAGGUGGCAAGCGUUGUCCGGAUUUAUUGGGCGUAAAGCGAGCGCAGGCGGUCAAUUAAGUCUGAUGUGAAAGCCCCCGGCUCAACCGGGGAGGGUCAUUGGAAACUGUUUGACUUGAGUGCAGAAGAGGAGAGUGGAAUUCCAUGUGUAGCGGUGAAAUGCGUAGAUAUAUGGAGGAACACCAGUGGCGAAGGGGACUCUCUGGUCUGUAACUGACGCUGAGUCUCGAAAGCGUGGGUAGCAAACAGG
rnacentral:rRNA from 1 species